UUUCUUUUACAGAAAAGAUGUAUACUACUCCCACGAGGAAAGAACGACUAUCUUUGAUUAUAUCAUCAAAACGAAGAGGUUCGGGGAGGUUAAAGGCACAGUGUUUGGCAGGAUAUGGCCGAGGCCCAGGCCAGGGCAGCAAGCACAGAGCAGUCCAGGGGAGCGGUAGUCCAGGGCAGCAGCACACACAGAGCAGAGCCGUCUAGGACAGCAGCAUGCACAGAGCAGAGCCGUCCAGGGGAGCGGUAGUCCAGGGCAGCAGCACACACAGAGCAGAGCUGUCUAGGACAGCAGCACACACACAGCAGAGCCGUCCAGGGCAGCAGCCAGCAAGCACAGAGCAGAGCCGUCCAGGGCAGCAGCCAGCAAGCAAGCAAGCACAGAGCAGAGCCGUCCAGGGCAGCAGCCAGCAAGCAAGCACAGAGCAGAGCCGUCCAGGGCAGCAGCCAGCCAGCAAGCACAGAGCAGAGCCGUACAGGGAAGUCCAAGGCAGUAACCAGUAAUCACAGUCUAGGGCAGCACGGCACUCCAGUGUUCAGAACAACAUUUCUAUACAAAAUAAAAUGUUAAAUUAA